rnacentral:rRNA from 1 species
CCUACGGGAGGCAGCAGUAGGGAAUAUUGGACAAUGGGCGCAAGCCUGAUCCAGCAAUGCCGCGUGUGUGAAGAAGGCCUGCGGGUUGUAAAGCACUUUCAGUAGAGAAGAAAAGCCUAGGGUUAAUACCCCUGAGUCUUGACGUAACCUACAGAAGAAGCACCGGCUAACUCCGUGCCAGCAGCCGCGGUAAUACGGAGGGUGCGAGCGUUAAUCGGAAUUACUGGGCGUAAAGCGCGCGUAGGCGGCUAGGUCAGUCGAAUGUGAAAGCCCCGGGCUUAACCUGGGAAUUGCACUCGAUACUGCCUGACUAGAGUAUGGGAGAGGGAAGUGGAAUUUCCGGUGUAGCGGUGAAAUGCGUAGAUAUCGGAAGGAACACCAGUGGCGAAGGCGACUUCCUGGCCCAAUACUGACGCUGAGGUGCGAAAGCGUGGGUAGCGAACAGGAUUAGAUACCCUGGUAGUCCACGCCGUAAACGAUGAGAACUAGAUGUCGGGAGGAUUUACCUCUCGGUGUCGCAGCUAACGCGUUAAGUUCUCCGCCUGGGGAGUACGCCGGCAACGGUAAAACUCAAAGGAAUUGACGG